UAGUAAAAUAAGUCUAUUAUCUACAUACAUAAUUUUUAUUCCAAUCUAAAUAAUAAAUUGCAAGAAAUCUUAGAAACUCUUACUAGACCUAAAACUCCACUUCUUGAGACCUUGAUCCACUUAAACCUCAAUAAACCUCGAUCCAUCUUUUUGAUCCAGCUCAAACUCAUAGCAUAUAUUGAACAUAUAUAAAUCCACAAAUAAUCAAAAUUUCACUAAUAGAUCUAUUACCAACCUUACAAAAUUUUCCAAAAAGUAUCUUUCAUUUUAUUUCACAAAUCUAGAGUCAUCUAAAACAAAUCCAAACUUUGCAAAGCUCUUAUAAAGUCAAUACAAAUCCAAAUCAUCCAAAAUCAAUGCUCAUCAAAACAUUAUCAAGUCUGCUCUCUAACCUUAUUCUUUGAUCUCUCAAGAAAAUCCUAAAAUCAUUGUCAAAGCUUAGAUUAGUCUCUUAGGGUCUGAUUUCAAUCCUAGUUUGUAACCAACCCUCUCCGGGUAUCAAUAUCUAGUUUUUCUAAGUAAUUUUCUCUAAAAUUUACUCUUAACUUCUUCUUAAAUAUGCUUGUAUCGUUUAUUUUUCAAUCUACU
rnacentral:lncRNA from 1 species